rnacentral:rRNA from 1 species
UACGUAGGGUGCAAGCGUUAAUCGGAAUUACUGGGCGUAAAGCGUGCGCAGGCGGUGAUGUAAGACAGAUGUGAAAUCCCCGGGCUCAACCUGGGAACUGCAUUUGUGACUGCAUCGCUGGAGUACGGCAGAGGGGGAUGGAAUUCCGCGUGUAGCAGUGAAAUGCGUAGAUAUGCGGAGGAACACCGAUGGCGAAGGCAAUCCCCCUGGGCCUGUACUGACGCUCAUGCACGAAAGCGUGGGGAGCAAACAGG